UACGUAGGGGGCAAGCGUUGUCCGGAUUUAUUGGGCGUAAAGAGCGUGUAGGCGUCCAUGUAGGUCCGUUGUGAAAACUCGAGGCUCAACCUCGAGACGCCGAUGGAAACCAUAUGGCUAGAGUCCGGAAGAGGAGAGUGGAAUUCCUGGUGUAGCGGUGAAAUGCGCAGAUAUCAGGAAGAACACCCGUGGCUAAGGCGGCUCUCUAGUACGGUACUGACGCUGAGACGCGAAAGCGUGGGGAGCGAACAGG
rnacentral:rRNA from 1 species